UUGGGUCCAUUUUGGGUUAUUACCAACUAAUUGUCACGUGACAACAAUGUAAUUGCACUUGAGAUGAGAGUGCUGCGAAUCUUUGUCCCACUUUGAGAAAAUAUAAAAUGAAAUGGCAAAUAAUUGGGUCCAGUUUGGGUUAUUACCAACUAAUUAUCAAGUGAUAACAAUGUAAUUGCACUUGAGAUGGGAGUGUUGGGAAUCUUUGUCCCACAUUGAGAAAAUAUAAAAUGAAAUGGCAAAAUAUUUGUGGUUGGAUUGGUUAAUCAUUUUGAUAUAUAAAGAAACUUAAUUAUUUAUAUAAGCCCAUAUUAAAAAUGAAUUGAUGUCUAAUAUGCCCAACAGUAGUGGAUUGAGUUCUCAAGAAUUGAUUAAAUUUUCAUGUGGAGUACUUCUGUAUUGUCUGGUAUAAAUUUGGUGCCAAUUCCCCUAGAUCGGUUUCUUUUGGACCUUAGAUGAUUGGGUGGAAACUCUCAACUGCACAUUUUACAGCAAUGGAGUUGCAAAACAUGUAGUCUUCUCCUAAAAUAUAGCUCCUUCCUGGACAUGGAGGGAACAGUAAUACACCUCUGCAAUGAUAAGAAUCACUAAUUUGAGGUGGAGUGCCAAUGAAAAUCUUUUGCUUCUUUGAUGACAAGGUUUUAUUUGGGAUUGGUUUCAACAGUAUUAAUUUGUAGAACUGUUUCACAUUGGGUUUAUAUAAAUGAAUUUUCUCAGCCUUAUGCAUUUUUAUGUUUUCUCUCCAACACAGAGAAGGGAUGUAAGUGAAUGGUAGUCAAGGAUGUAUGGUGAUCAUCAUGCAGAUGAAUGAUGCUGCAGGUGACAGAUGUGGUCAGAGGUUGGUAUGCAUAUUUAUCUCCAUUUGAGAUCAUUUGAAUUGGAUAUUCCAGUUGAAGGUGAAAAGGGAUAUCGGUGAACUUCAGUCUAGAAAUG
rnacentral:lncRNA from 1 species